CCACUUUCAUUUCAUGAUGCUAGUUUAAGGCAUUGGAGCAUGGGAAUCGUUGGAUUCUAAGACGACAUCUUUAAGCAUCGUCGGACUCCACCUAAACCCAAUCGCCCUAAGCGCAGCCUCCACGCUUCAAUUUCUCUCCUCCUCCUCCUGGGUCCUAGUUACCAAGGCCAUCCACCGCCCCCUCCACCUCUUAAGCAUCGACAUCCCUUCCCUCUCCUCGUCUUUGUCACUAUUGAAGGGCAUCGACAUUCACCUCCUUCUCCUCCUCCUUGUCUGUCUCCACUGAAGGGGACUACGAUCCGCUCCGAAAGCUGAAGGGGAAGCCCGGCCUCGAUAUCUUCCUCUCUUUUCCUCGAAGGAAGGUGAGGAGGUCUAUACAAUUUUCUUGGAUAAGCUUUUAAGUCAAACACCUGAUCAGCAACCGACUUUUUCCGCAAUUAGUGAGGAUUUGUUUGCAAUAGCAACAGAUCAACCAUUCCAUUUUCCAUCCACCUUCAUCUUUGUCUUUAGGGCAUUCUCAACUCUUGAAGUCCUGAGUCUUCUCAGCAGCAAUAUUCUCUUCCACUGAUUGAUGUUGCUUUCCGUAUAUGGAAGGGUGGCCAUCCUUCCUAUAAUCUGUAUGCCUACUGAUGUUGAGGUAAACAACUGGUGUUUUCAUCUAUUUUAGUAUUUGCUCCAAAGCUCUCAUCUUUGAAGGGUAAUGUGCAAGAUAGGACUGGUUGAAGAUUGGAUCGAUUUCCUUAUAAUACUGUCCUCCAGAGUUCCACUGCCCCUCUCUGCGCCAGAUAGUGAAGAAACUGUGCAUUCAGUUUCUAUAAUAGUCUUUAUUAUUUUUUUGAAAAAAAAAUGUGGUGAGUUUAUAUUAGUUGCUGAAUAUUUUUAUACUAAGAUCAUAAUUAUACAUAAGAAAAGAAUUACAAAAUACUUGCACUGAUUGCAAUACUAAUGCAAUGGCCCUAACUAACAUGUAGGCCCUAUCUGAAGUGAAAUGAGGGGUUGUGGGUAAAUAUCUAUGACGUAUUAAUAGGAAUUUAGUCCAUUAACAUUACCCAUUCUUAACACACCGUUCUGCACUCUCAUAGAAGUGAAGAAACUAUAUAUAUGUUGCAGUGAUGAGCUGAUUCAGGUAACUCAAGACUCCAAAAGAUUCCUAUCAGCUGAUUCAGGUUUAGGUUCUUCACCAUCAGAUGUUACCAUAUACCAUGAUUAACACAUAUUCACAUUAGAGUUCCAGCAACCUAUCCACUUAGCUUACCCUUCAUACAAGUAGAUGACAAUUCAACCACCUCAAAUUAUCCAACAUCAACAAUUUCCAAUGUCAUCAAUUUCCUAGCAAUUACCAAUUAUCCUCUAAACUGCCUGUGUGCAUAUAUUUAUAUUUUCCUAUAUUGGCUAUUUUGGAAGUAAUAAAAAGGGUUUCCUAUUCUCCGUUACUUCUGUAUAUCUUUUUCUUAUGCACUAUAUUCUCUUUGAUCUAUUCAAUUGAGUUGCAGACUUUUUUUUGGGUCUCUUUGUGCAGCUGAAUUUGACACUAAUAGAAUUACAGGUAUGUAUAUUCUAGUUGUUUUGCUCCCUUUUCAGUUUGGUUCAUUUGAUGCGAUUAGCACACUAUCUGAUCAGGACAAAUAGCUAUUCUUUCUCGAUUUCAAUAUUUUUUUUGUCAUACUUGACACUUGUUAAUAUUUAAAAUUUUACUAUUGAUUAAUUUUUGUUAAACAGGAUUUGUUCUAUUUGAGCAUAAAUAUAAAAUUUUAGUUAAACAAGUCCAAAUAUGGGAAUGUUGAUCGAUGUUUUACCAAAGUUUGAUAUUUACUUUUAUUGAAUGUAAGAUAUAAUUAAUUAUUUACUAAUCUUUCAGAUGCUUUUUGUAUCAUGCAGUGACCCUUUUCUUUAUUGUUAUCUAGGUGAGGAGGUCUAUACAGUUUGUCUUGGAUGCUCUUUUAAGUCAGACACUUGAUCAGCAACAGACUUUUUCUGCAAUUAGCCAGGUGGGUUGCAUAUUUAAAAUAGACAAGAGAUUGAGCAUUCAUGUACAUUUACUACUUAAAAGAUGAAUCAGAGACAUGAGAUACAGUUACUGGAGAUGAGUUAGAGAUAUGACCUACGUACGGAUGGAAAAGCUGAGGCAAAGCUAUCAAACAGAGAUAGUGUCAUUGAAGACUCAGGGUGAUGACAUCACAUCUUUUUUACGGAAUUUUGCCCCACAUCAGUGUUCCGAUGCUUUCAACAGUCACCAAGAUGAUGAUGAUGAUGAUACCAUGGACAAGUGAUUGUCCUAUCUUUUUUAAGUAUUUUACAUAUGAUGUAUCUUUUUGUAUUUUCUUUAUAACAUCAUUCGGCUAUAAUUAUAGACAUUCAUUAAUCUUACAUAGUGUAAAAACUUGUCAUUUUGAUAUGCAAUACAAAUAUUUUUUUGAAG